AUUGAACGCUGGCGGCAGGCCUAACACAUGCAAGUCGAGCGGCAGCGGAAAGUAGCUUGCUACUUUGCCGGCGAGCGGCGGACGGGUGAGUAAUGUCUGGGGAUCUGCCUGAUGGAGGGGGAUAACUACUGGAAACGGUAGCUAAUACCGCAUAACGUCGCAAGACCAAAGAGGGGGACCUUCGGGCCUCUUGUCGUCAGAUGAAACCAGAUGGGGUUAGCUAGUAGGUGGGGUAACGGCUCACCUAGGCGACGAUCCCUAGCUGGUCUGAGAGGAUGAACAGCCACACUGGAACUGAGACACGGUCCAGACUCCUACGGGAGGCAGCAGUGGGGAAUAUUGCACAAUGGGCGCAAGCCUGAUGCAGCCAUGCCGCGUGUAUGAAGAAGGCCUUCGGGUUGUAAAGUACUUUCAGCGAGGAGGAAGGCGUUAAGGUUAAUAACCUUAGCGAUUGACGUUACUCGCAGAAGAAGCACCGGCUAACUCCGUGCCAGCCGCCGCAGUAA
rnacentral:rRNA from 1 species